GACGAACGCCGGCGGCGUGCUUAACACAUGCAAGUCGAACGGAAAGGCCCUGCUUUUGUGGGGUGCUCGAGUGGCGAACGGGUGAGUAACACGUGAGUAACCUGCCCUUGACUUUGGGAUAACUUCAGGAAACUGGGGCUAAUACCGGAUAGGAGCUCCUGCUGCAUGGUGGGGGUUGGAAAGUUUCGGCGGUUGGGUAUGGACUCGCGGCUUAUCAGCUUGUUGGUGGGGUAGUGGCUUACCAAGGCUUUGACGGGUAGCCGGCCUGAGAGGGUGACCGGCCACAUUGGGACUGAGAUACGGCCCAGACUGCUACGGGAGGCAGCAGUGGGGAAUAUUGCACAAUGGGCGGAAGCCUGAUGCAGCAACGCCGCGUGCGGGAUGACGGCCUUCGGGUUGUAAACCGCUUUCGCCUGUGACGAAGCGUGAGUGACGGUAAUGGGUAAAGAAGCACCGGCUAACUACGUG
rnacentral:rRNA from 1 species